GAUGAACGCUAGCUACAGGCUUAACACAUGCAAGUCGAGGGGAAACGAUGAGAGAGCUUGCUCUCUUAGGCGUCGACCGGCGCACGGGUGAGUAACGCGUAUCCAACCUACCCAUUACAGGGGGAUAACCUUGCGAAAGUAAGACUAAUACCCCAUGGCAUUUUAUGGUGGCAUCAUUAUAGGAUUAAAGAUUUAUUGGUAAUGGAUGGGGAUGCGUCUGAUUAGCUUGUUGGCGGGGUAACGGCCCACCAAGGCAACGAUCAGUAGGGGUUCUGAGAGGAAGGUCCCCCACAUUGGAACUGAGACACGGUCCAAACUCCUACGGGAGGCAGCAGUGAGGAAUAUUGGGCAAUGGGCGAGAGCUUGAACCAGCCAAGUAGCGUGCAGGAUGACGGCCCUAUGGGUUGUAAACUGCUUUUAUAGGGGAAUAAAGUGAGCUACGUGUAGUUUAUUGCAUGUACCCUAGGAAUAAGGACCGGCUAAUUCCGU
rnacentral:rRNA from 1 species